UUCAGACCGUAUAUAUUGUAAUAUUAUUUAUUGCUGGUGUGGUUGUUGUUGUGAUUGGUAUAAUUAUAUUUGUGUGUGUCAGACGUGUUAUUGCUCGCAAUGAGAUGAAAAGAGGUCCACAUAAAUUAAUACUACAGCCUUCAGAUCUGACCUUUUUACUGAGGAAGGAUAUGGGUAAAGGAUCACGGGUUAUGAAGAGUUCUUUACUGGAUAAACCGGACCUAGUUAAAGCGUCUGAACCAACCAAGUCUACC